rnacentral:rRNA from 1 species
AGAGUUUGAUCAUGGCUCAGAACGAACGCUGGCGGCGCGCUUAACACAUGCAAGUCGAACGAGAAAGUGUAGCAAUACAUUAGUACAGUGGCGUACGGGUGAGUAACACGUAGGUAAUCUACCCUUGAAGACUGGAAUAACUAACCGAAAGGUUGGCUAAUACCGGAUAGGUCAAGAGAUUCGUAGAGAAUUUUUUGGGAAAGUAGGACUCAAGCAAUUGAUCUUACACUUUAGGAAGAGCCUGCGUCUGAUUAGCUAGUUGGUAGGGUAAUGGCCUACCAAGGCUUUGAUCAGUAGCUGGUCUGAGAGGACGAUCAGCCACACUGGAACUGAAACACGGUCCAGACUCCUACGGGAGGCAGCAGUGGGGAAUCUUGCGCAAUGGAGGAAACUCUGACGCAGCGACGCCGCGUGGGUGAAGAAGGCCUUCGGGUUGUAAAGCCCUGUCGAACGGGAAAAAUGGCAUUUGUGCUAAUACCACAGAUGCGUGAUGGUACCGUUAAAGGAAGCACCGGCUAACUCUGUGCCAGCAGCCGCGGUAAUACAGAGGGUGCAAGCGUUGUUCGGAAUCAUUGGGCGUAAAGGGCAAGUA